AUAGCUCAGCUGGUAGAGC
rnacentral:tRNA from 1 species